rnacentral:tRNA from 1 species
UGAGCCAUGGUGUAAUGGUAACACUGCAGAUUUUGGUUCUGUCAUUUUGGGUUCAAAUCCCGAUGGCUCAA